rnacentral:rRNA from 1 species
AUUGGGACUGAGAUACGGCCCAGACUCCUACGGGAGGCAGCAGUGGGGAAUAUUGCACAAUGGGCGCAAGCCUGAUGCAGCGACGCCGCGUGCGGGAUGACGGCCUUCGGGUUGUAAACCGCUUUUGACUGGGAGCAAGCCCUUCGGGGUGAGUGUACCUUUCGAAUAAGCACCGGCUAACUACGUGCCAGCAGCCGCGGUAAUACGUAGGGUGCAAGCGUUAUCCGGAAUUAUUGGGCGUAAAGGGCUCGUAGGCGGUUCGUCGCGUCCGGUGUGAAAGUCCAUCGCUUAACGGUGGAUCCGCGCCGGGUACGGGCGGGCUUGAGUGCGGUAGGGGAGACUGGAAUUCCCGGUGUAACGGUGGAAUGUGUAGAUAUCGGGAAGAACACCAAUGGCGAAGGCAGGUCUCUGGGCCGUCACUGACGCUGAGGAGCGAAAGCGUGGGGAGCGAACAGGAUUAGAUACCCUGGUAGUCCACGCCGUAAACGGUGGAUGCUGGAUGUGGGGACCAUUCCACGGUCUCCGUGUCGGAGCCAACGCGUUAAGCAUCCCGCCUGGGGAGUACGGCCGCAAGGCUAAAACUCAAAGAAAUUGACGGGGGCCCGCACAAGCGGCGGAGCAUGCGGAUUAAUUCGAUGCAACGCGAAGAACCUUACCUGGGCUUGACAUGUUCCCGACAGCCGUAGAGAUACGGUCUCCCUUCGGGGCGGGUUCACAGGUGGUGCAUGGUCGUCGUCAGCUCGUGUCGUGAGAUGUUGGGUUAAGUCCCGCAACGAGCGCAACCCUCGCCCUGUGUUGCCAGCACGUCGUGGUGGGAACUCACGGGGGACCGCCGGGGUCAACUCGGAGGAAGGUGGGGAUGACGUCAGAUCAUCAUGCCCCUUACGUCCAGGGCUUCACGCAUGCUACAAUGGCCGGUACAACGGGAUGCGACACUGUGAGGUGGAGCGGAUCCCUUAAAACCGGUCUCAGUUCGGAUUGGAGUCUGCAACCCGACUCCAUGAAGGCGGAGUCGCUAGUAAUCGCGGAUCAGCAACGCCGCGGUGAAUGCGUUCCCGGGCCUUGUACACACCGCCCGUCAAGUCAUGAAAGUGGGUAGCACCCGAAGCCGGUGGCCCAACCUUUUGGGGGGAGCCGUCUAAGGUGAGACUCGUGAUUGGGACUAAGUCGUAACAAGGUAGCCGUACCGGAAGGUGCGGCUG